UACGAAGGGGGCUAGCGUUGUCCGGAAUCAUUGGGCGUAAAGAGCGUGUAGGCGGCCUGGUAAGUCCGCUGUGAAAGUCCAGGGCUCAACCCUGGAAUGCCGGUGGAAACUGUCAGGCUCGAGUCCGGAAGAGGCGAGUGGAAUUCCUGGUGUAGCGGUGAAAUGCGUAGAGAUGCGGAGGAACACCGAUGGCGAAGGCAGCCCCCUGGGUCGACACUGACGCUCAGGCACGAAAGCGUGGGGGAGCAAACAGG
rnacentral:rRNA from 1 species